rfam:Escherichia coli 53638 gcontig_1105238512145, whole genome shotgun sequence.
GGUCGGGUAGCGCGUAUACCGAAAAACAGCCGAAAGGCUAAGGAUACGGGCCGACUUGCUGCGGUGUUCAAGUACCCGACCGCCCUGCU